rnacentral:rRNA from 1 species
UUUAACUGAAGAGUUUGAUCAUGGCUCAGAUUGAACGCUGGCGGCAGGCUUAACACAUGCAAGUCGAGCGGAGAGAGGUAGCUUGCUACUGAUCUUAGCGGCGGACGGGUGAGUAAUGCUUAGGAAUCUGCCUAUUAGUGGGGGACAACAUUUCGAAAGGAAUGCUAAUACCGCAUACGUCCUACGGGAGAAAGCAGGGGAUCUUCGGACCUUGCGCUAAUAGAUGAGCCUAAGUCGGAUUAGCUAGUUGGUGGGGUAAAGGCCUACCAAGGCGACGAUCUGUAGCGGGUCUGAGAGGAUGAUCCGCCACACUGGGACUGAGACACGGCCCAGACUCCUACGGGAGGCAGCAGUGGGGA